UCCUUUGAAGUUAUGUCCUUGAUGAUGCUGUUGGUUAGGAAAUUGAACCUCAGAUUCUGUAGUAUUUCAUAUCCAAAACACGAGAAAAGAAACACCAAAACUUAUAUUGUUAGUGUCCUUACAAUAUGAAGCACACAAGCGUUGAUAUUUAUGUAUGUAUGAGCUUACGAUAGGAAGCUGGUGGCAAUAUUUGGUUCUGGAACAUUUUUGACCCCAUACAGAUUGUCCUUGGCCAUCAAAAACCCCAUAGCCGGACAACGUGAACUGGUCAAGGUGUUGGAAAGCAACCCAACCAGCUUGAGGUUUGAACCUGCUGGUAUCCACUGGGGCCCUCACAGUGCCUUUGACAAUGAGAUUGAUAGGAGCCUUGCAAGGGCCUUCAAUGGUUACUUGGCCUAAGGCGUAUAUCCCAGCUGGGAUCACAACUCUACUUGCAAUAGGCGAGGCACAGGCGGCUUCCCAAGCUGUAAGUAAGGCCUAGGAAAACAUUCAACAAACAAAUAAGUUUUUCAUAGAUUCAUGAUAGAUUAAUCGUAUUACCUCAUUAUAAUCUCAUCGUCUUUCACCUGGCUAAUAUCGGUCUUUCCAUCAGCCUGGGCACCAUAUUUGGUAACAUCAAAAUAUGUAUCACCAGACACUUCUGCGACAGAUGUUAGCAAUAACAGAAGAGAGAUUGCUGCGAUAUUCAACUUCAUGCCUAUGUUUUCCGUUUCCCUCUUCUUUGUCUGGUAAAAUCUGUAUGCAACAAUGGUGAAUCCCCAUUCUUUUGAAACCGAUUUAUACUGUAACAAGAGAAGCUCAACACCACCAGAACAUACAUCCAAUUUUAGUUAACCAAGUUUUAUGGUGUUCAUUGGGUCCUGAUGAUUGGAGUCAACUUCCUUCCUAUUUAGCCUCACAUGGCAAACUCUCAUUCCUCAAAACCCUUUUUUCGGUUUUAUUUCAGCCAAUCACAACCUGUCAUUGCAGAGAAGAGUAGACAUCAACAUUUUUCCUAAUUUAUAUAGGAAAUCUUGUCAAUAUCUCACAAGCCUUUGAGAAACAGGGCCCAGGGUCCAUUAGAUUUGUGAUGGGUACUCUGUAAUGCAUCACCAUUUAAAAAAGAGCAGAUUUAUCUCCAAAAUCCUUUUUGAUUUUCCAUCAGACAAAGGAAACCUGGAUUGACAAUAUACUUUGAUCAUUAGGAAAUUGUUUUAAUACUGUGCCCUCUAACUCUAGGGUUCUUAAUUAAUUAUAUCCUGAAAGAUUACCAAAUCUAGAAUUCUUGGCUAUGAGCAUCAUUUUUUUUUUUUUUCUGAUAUCAAGUUAAAGCCAAUGUGUUGUCUCAAUCUUGUGAAAAUGGCCUCUUAUGGGAUGCCCAAAAAUGAGAAAAUAAACUGGAGUGAAGCAUCUUUGCACAUAGGGCUAAUUCACAUUGUUAUAGUUCUAUUCUGUUCUUUAUCAAAUAGUAAGCCAUACAAAAAAAUAUAAUAAUGUAAAACUAUAUUUCACCAAUCAACUCAUCAUGCAUGCAAGCAAGCAUGAGUCCAAGCUGUGUUUGGUUCACAUAUUUCAGGGCCUUCUUUUCCCUUUUAUGUCAAGUUGAUGUCACUGAUAUCUACAGUCUGGCAUGGCACCCCUCUGCUACAAACGACUGCAACCUGCGUUCCAGACAUGCUACAAAUGCCUUGGAAGCUCACAUCGCUGAUCUUAACUUGCGAGGGAACCUAAAACCAAGAAAUCAUCAGAUCAAUAAGAUGUUUUUUUUUUUUCCCUUUCUUGUUACUACAUUGAGCGACUAGUACCUUUGCUUGGCAUUGAUCAUAUGGGCAGUAUUCUUGAUUGAUAAGAAUAGGAUUGCCGACGUUGUUCAUGAUAAUAUCCUCAAAAUGCAAGUCAGUGGCAACACUAGCAGGAGAAUCCGGCCAUGUUUUAACCCUAAUGCCAUUCAUUGUGUUGAUGAGGGUGCAGUUCUUCACAGUAACUCCAACAACAGGUUCUUCAUUGUGGUACUUCCCAAGGCUCCCAACACUGAUGCCAUGUCCAGGUCCACAGGUUACUUUUUCCACGUUGAUGUGUUGGCUGCCAUCUCCAAUAGAGAGAGAGUCAUCUCCAGUUUUGAUGAUUGCAUCCGAAAUAUUAACCCCAGUUGAGCGCCCCAUGUGGAUUCCAUCAGUGUUUAGGCUAUCCCCUGUUGCAUUGAUGGUGACAUACUGAAGAGUCAUGUUCCAGCAGUUCAAAAUGUCCAUGUGAAACAGCUUGCUGUUCAGGGAAGUUGUGUUGAAUAAUCGAAUUGGUGACCUUAGUGAAACAUAAGUUCUGUUCACAAAAUCGAAGACAACGGAAAAUUCGAUAAGAAAGCAGACACAAGACCAAAACAACAAACAUGAAUACAGAACUACAUUAGCUUGGGACAUGGAGAACAUACUACAAGUAGAAGGUUGCAAGUUCCAGUUCUGGCACAAUUGUUUUGACCCCAGGCAGUGUGUCCUUGGCCAUCGAAUGUUCCUCCUCCUGAGAUUAUCAAGCUAUCAAUGUCUUGGAAAAUGACCCAACCAUCCUGCAAUUCGAACCUGUUGAGGUCUGUUGGAGCCUUCAAGGUUCCUUGAACCCGAAACCCCAUGGGAGCCCUGCAUGGUCCUUGAAACUGCACUGGACCGACCACGUAGGUUCCUCCUGAUACCACAACUGUGCUUGGAUCUGUGCAUGUGCAUGCCACUUUCCAGGCACUCAUGAAAGCCUGUCUAAGAACAUGGAAAAUUUACAGAACAUAACAAAGAGUUAGAAGUUGAAAUUGCACCUGAAAAAAUAACAAGGUUCGUUCAUUUCACCUGGCAAUCCUCUGACUUCCCAUCUGCCUUUGCUCCAUAUUUUUUUCACGUUGAAAUCAGAAUGACCAAUGCUUGCCAGAACAAUAAGAAAAUAGCUGCUGAGACCAUUUUCGGACCCAUCUAUCUUUUAGCUUGUGUGUUUGAAUCAAGUUACAUCUUUUCAGGCAUUUAUAGUGCAAUUGAAGAUUCACAACUCCACAAAAUCUUCAGCCUAAUUUUAUGUAGUUUCAUCUUUGAUUUCUCUACAAUUUGAGAAAUCAUGAUGGACAAGGACACUGUGUUCGCAAUGGUCGUGAACAAGCUGUACUAAUUCUGGAUUUUAUGAGUCCGCAUUUGAUGUUGGAAGCCUCUAUACCUAAAAACGCUGGUUCAAGCCAGCCAACUAUUAUCCUACGGGUUUAAUAGGUGAAGGCCAUGUGAUGAGCCUUGUGGUCGCUUUAAAUAUAUAAAGGUGGAAAAAGAUCUUUUAUGGAGUAAUGGGCAGUAUCUGUGGUUUAUGGGCAUUGAGCCUAUCCAAUAGAACACCAACUUUUUUCACCUACCUAAUAGAAUUUACUCUUUCUGAUGUUUCGGUAUCAAGAAACUGUGCAGCACUUACAACUUGUGGCUUUAAAGGGCAGCCCUAUAGAUUCAAACCCUUGACACCCCUUCCAAUGACUGCCCCACCCUGCCACCAUCCCCAAACACUGCCUCCACCACCUCCAACUGCCACGCCACAACCCCCACCUUCCCUCCUCCCCAGAUUGACUGCCUCAUGUUGGAUCAGUUCCAAUAAGUUUUUGUGGAAGAAGCUUCUAUCUAUGAGAUACAAGGCAACUAAUUCAAGGAAGCUAAUUUUGAGGGAAGUGCAGGUAUGUGAUUAAUGCAGGCAAUCAGGUGGUUCAAGCUGCUGUCAUUCAAUUAUACGUUUCAUUUCUCCUUACUAGAUUUUUCAAUCCUACAAGCAUGUAUAAUACCGAAAUAGGUACCGGAAAUAGACAUAAGAAACUGACUAUAGGAAAACAUAAAGGUGGGAACCGCAUUACACCAUAACAGAAGCAACAAGAAUGGUAUCAACUUUAUACUUUCAGCCAAAAAAAAGAAAGAAAGAAAGAAAAAUUCAACAAAAUAUCUUGACAAAAAGUACUGGAAGCUAAAGAGAAGAUGAUUUCAUCUUGAUAACAACUAAUCAAGAAUCCAAGAAUAAAUAUAAGAAAACAUUUCAGGUAUACAAAUCCUCGAAUAUAAGUACCAUGGGGAGUUUUGCUGGCACGCAGAUACCCAUCCAAUUCGAUGACAAGCUUUUUGCAUUUUUAAAAUGAUGUUCUGUUUUCUGUAGCAGACUUGGUUCUGCUGAUAAAAUCUUCAACUAUCAUGGUUCCAAGCUCCCCGCCAAACCUAGAUCUAACUGUAACUGUUUGUGUUUCAACUUCUUUGGGGCCCACAACUGCCAUUAAUGGGAUUCUCUGCUUCUCAGAAUUUCUAAUGAGCUUAGGAAGGCGCUCACCAUGACAAACUUCAGCCCGAAUACCAUUAGCUUUCAGUUUGUUGGUCACCUCAUUGCAGUACUCAAGCUGUGUAAACACAUGGAAUUUGUUACUCAAAGCAAAGAUUAUAGCCACAAGUUCUCAGGAAAAUGUCUGAAACUAAAUUUGUAAAAAAACAAUAGAAGCUGAGAAUACCUGUGUGUCCGUCACUGGUAAAACCCGAGCUUGGAUUGGAGAAAGCCAUAGUGGAAAAUCCCCAGCAUAAUGCUCUAUGAGAACUCCAAAGAAUCGCUCCAAGGAUCCAAGAACAGCUCUAUGGAUCAUGAUGGGUCGUUGCUUUUCUGAGUUUGAGUCAACAUAUGUAAUGUCAAAUCGCUGUGGCAAAUUGAAAUCAACCUGCAUAAAUUUGCAAAAAGAAAUCAUUUGUCAAUUAUACAUUUGUAUAUGAUUCAUUCAAUUUGAAUCAAUUCCAUAAACUUCCUUUGUAAAUGACAAAUCCAAUCUGUCUUGAUCUGAACACUUCAUUAGAACUUUGGGAUUGCACAAGAGAGACUGGGAUGUAUAAAUGACAGUUCUUUCCCAGUCUAAUUCAAUUGUUAACCCCAGAUCAACGUUUGGGCAACUUUGAAUUAAUAACUUGCCUGUAUAGUUGAGCACUGCCACUUCCUUCCAAGAGCAUCCUCAAUCUUGAGAUCAAUCUUAGGACCAUAAAAGGCACCACCACCUUCAUCAAUUCGAUAGCUCCACCCCUUAUCAUCCAAAGCAUCUCUAAGUGCUGAUGUUGCUUUUUCCCAUAUAUCAUCAGCUCCCACAGCUUUCUCUGGCCUGGUUGAGAGGUUCACCUCAUACUUGCUAAAACCAAAUUGUAGUAAUAUUUCUUCAGUGAGAUCAAGGACUCCCCGGAUUUCAUCCUUGAUUUGAUCUUCUAAGCAAAAUAUAUGUGCAUCAUCCUGCAAGAAAUGUAAAAUAAAAAUAGUCAUCCCAAGGUUUUACCCAAAAGACCAUGCGGUAUUGUGACUUUGGCAGACAACAAAAGAAAAAAACAAAGAUGCAUCUCCCCUGCUGUAUAGGACAUAUAACACACAUCAAGGGGUUACAAGCCACCUCUUCACAGGCUCCAUGAGUGAUAUUUUCUACAUUGAACACUCACUGCUUCCAAACCAAUUGGGCCAGAUAAAUUUCUUAUUCAUUAGAAGGACUAGUUGAAUGAUGGGUCAAAUCCCAAAAACAUGUCCACAUUGACGGACUAAGUGAUGGAUAUAAUGCCCUGUACAAUCUACUCAAUAGUAUGCUGAAUUCCUAAUAUUAAAUCAUGAUAAAACCCAAAGGCAGGGCCACAACCUGAACGUCUAUGACCCAAGGUGUCUAUAGAACAUGCCAGAAUACAACACCCAAUGCCAAAAACAUCCAAAUGUAUAGUCUGAGUUUCCAAACAUGCAUCUGAGAUUAGAUAAUGUACCUGUGUGAAACCUCUUACACGAAAAAGGCCAUGCAAGCUUCCGGAUAGCUCAUAUCUGUACACUGUUCCCAGCUCUGCAACCCUGAUUGGGAAAUCUCGAUAGGAGUGUAGCUUCCUCUUGUAAAUCAAAAUAUGGUAUGGACAGUUCAUUGGUCGGAGUUGAUAGAGUUCAUCCUCAAUUGUUAUCUGACUGUACAUAUUCUCUCUGUAGAAAUCCAAAUGGCCACUGGUCUUCCAUAAAUCAGCCCUAGCAACAUGUGGAGUAUACAGCAGAUCAUAGCCAUGUUCUAUAUGUAUUUUUUUCCAUGAAUCUUCUAUAAUACGCCUAACAAUGGCACCCUUUGGAUGCCAGAACACUAGACCUCCACCAGCUUCAUCCUGCAGAAGUUUCAUCAAGAAGCCUAAGAUAUUAAAGGAAUGAAUUCAUACUAGUGGAUAAGGAGCAAUCCAACAAUAAAAUUGAAAAGAAGAAGAAAACUGAUUUAUCAAUCCUCACUCCAAACCAUUCUGGUACAAGUCCAAUAGGGAGCUACCUGUAUAGAGAACAGAUCAAGAUCUUGUCCAAGGCGUCUGUGAUCCCGGCGUUUUGCCUCCUCUUUGAAGUGAAGAUAUGCUUUCAAUUGUUCCUCAUUCUCCCAUGCUGUGCCAUAGAUUCUCUGCAGCAUCUGUUUCUUCUCAUCCCCUCUCCAGUAAGCACCAGCAACAGAUUCAAGUUCAACAGCUUUCCUGUUAAUAUUUCCAGUAUAUUCAACAUGAGGCCCAGCACAAAGGUCCCACCAUUCACCACCUGCAAAGUGAUAGAAUAAAAUAUCAAGUGAAGAAUAAAAAAUAAUAAAUAGGUAUAUUUUGAUCAACUUAGGUAUGCCAAAGGAACCUUAAGAAGAAAUUAAACAAGUAAUACAGAUAAAGACGAAAACAAUGUGAAAUAACAAUGCAGAGAUGAAAGCAUUUAUUAUAUAUUUACUUUUCCAAAAAUUUAAAAAAAAUUAACAGAAAAGGAAAAAAAAAAGAAAAAGAAAAAGAAACAACGCAAAAAUUCAGAUUACACAACCUAGCAUAAACAAGGAACAACUCUCUGAUUCCUCCUUUAAGUACAUAUCUUCAUGGGUUUAAGUGUUAUGAGUGUUUGUGUGUGUGUGUAUAGCUGUAAAUAAGCAAUUAGAUGUGAAUCCACCACAUAGCCAUUGAAUAGAGAAAUUGAACAGUGCCUUCAAGGUUAAUGUCCAUACAGCAAAAGAUGUUAAUCCCCUUACCAAUAUGAUAGAUGGUGAUGGGAUCUUCCUGGAUGCUAUCCAAAAUUUCCAUUUUAUAUGGUUCAUUGACAGCCAUUAUUCUUCUCUGAGCUUCAUCUCUGGAAACUUCUUCUCUAAUCAGUGGUAAAUUUCGACCAAUGAUGCGAUCCUACAGAUGACGUAACAAAUAAAUUCCAGACCCUGAAACCACCGGCUAAUGAAUAUUUUUCCAAGUUCACGACCUUCCACACUAUAAAAAAUGACAUAAAUGAUACUUGUGAACAAAUUGUACUCACCAUCUCUUUCUUGAUCCUCUUCAAAUCUUUAUCUGUCAAAGGCUCCAUAUCAAAAUCAUAAUAAAACCCAUUUUCUAUCCAUGGACCAAUUGUCACUUUUGCAUCCGGGAAGAGCUUCUGAACAGCCAUAGCCAUUACAUGUGCACACUGUAUUCAUGUAUAAACAUAAAACAAGUGAAUUUUGUGAAGUUGGUAGUACAGCCAAAAAAACUGUGACAGAACCGACCAUAUAUGCACCAAUAUUCAAUUUCAAAAAUAAAAUAUGUAGCACUAAAACUUACUAAGCAAAGUUGAUGAUGGAUUUUUACAUUUUCUCUGGUUCAAGUAUCCAAAAAAAUUAAGACUUCAAGAUAAAAUUUGUUUGGAUUGCAAAAAAAACAAAACCACGGAAGUUCCUUGUCACUGAGUUGGGCCAACUCCUAAAGUUGUAGUUGACCGCAUGGCAUUGGAGCUUUACAGUGUCUAAUUGCUUUACAAGCCAAUAGAUUUGGAGUCGAAUUUAAUUUCCUAAAACCUCAAAAUCCACAAAAAGAACCAAGCAAAUCCCUAGUGAAAGGAAAGAUUGUCAAAUUCCAGAAAAUUGAAAUUCCAGAACUUAUCUUAAGCAACAUUAUCAAAUAAUUUCCACACAAUGAGCUAAAUCAACACCCUCUCCUGCAAAAUGCCACCCAAAAGCUAACAAAGCAGCCACUAUCCACCAUUUAAUUAAAUUUCCACCUUCACUUCUCCUCAACACCAAACAAAGCUCUAACUUUUCAGGUUUUUUCUUUUCUUCUCCGUCAUGCUCUCAACAACCAAACAGAAUCCCUAGACAAAAAAACAAACAAAUAAAUAAGUAAAUAAAAGAUUACCGUAUGGCGAAUCCUCAGGAGACGCUCAGACGAUUCAUUGGUGGGAAGAACAAUUUUUUCAGGCGGAGCCUCGCCCAAGCCCUUGUCAUCAGCCAAAACCGCAGAAUCAGUGGAAUCAGUGGAAUCAGUGGCCACGGCCGAAGAUGUAGUGGACAGUCCAUGGGCCUUGUGAUAAAGCGGCAGCACCCUGAUUCGGCUCCGACUGAAUCCUCCGGAAAUCGAAACGAUACGCUUUAGCGGACAUCGAUAAUGAUGAAGAAGUUGGUUCGAAGUGAGUUUGAGAGAGGAGGCGAAGAGAGAAUGAGAAGCGGCCAUUCUGUGAAGAACUAGCAACAUGGCUGAGGCUAGGGCUCAUUCAAAAGGAAACGGUGGGUUUUGUGUGGUAGAGAUUUUGUGAACGAGUUGGAUGUGACUUGUGCCCCUCUGUUUGGUUACUGAGAAACAACGAGAAAUUCGAAAGUAUCAACAUUAGCCUCGUCGAACGCACCGUUUUGAUAGUAAAUCUACCAAAACGCACCGUUUUGCUCCCGUCUUAAAUUCAUUUACCCUUAUCUUUUAAUAAAUGGGUGCCUAAAAUUAUUGUUCUAUUGUAAAAAGAAGAAAGCAAGAAAGAAAGAAUAAAAUGCAUGAGAGUCUAUAUAAUUUCAUUAGGAAUCCUACCAUUUUAUAGGAAGUUACACAAGAUGAUCCACAAGUUACUAUAGUGGUUCAAAAUCUCAUAUUUUAUAACACUCUCCCUUAGAUAUCAUAAGAAUAUGUUUCAUUAAAACCUUAUUAGGAAAUAUCCUAUAGAAAAAACCUUAGUGAAGGAAAAAUAGUACAAUAUUCUUUUGGAUUACUAUAACUAUCUCGUUAAAAACAUUACCAGUAAAACCCAAUAGGACAAAACCUAGACAAAAGAAAAAAGAGUAUAGUGGUAGUGAUAUUCUUUAUCAAAUAGCUCCCCCUAUGUUGACAUGAUUAUAUUUUCUCUAGUAGCACAGCAUAGAGAUCUUUGAGUCGACGUAUUCCAAUGAGCUUCUUAAGUAUUGCAAUUGAUAAUGUCUUUGUGAGUAGAUCUACUAAAUUGUCACUUGAUCUUAUCCGUUGAAUAGCAAUUUCAUCACUUUUUUGGAGUUAAUGAAAGUAAAAAACUUGGGCAAUAUAUGCUUAAUUCUAUCACCCUUAAUGUAUCAUUAUUUAAUCUGUACAACACAUGCAACAUUAUUAACUUGGUAGCAUUACCUCUUAUGGAGGGUAGUCUGCAUGUUUCCAUUAUUUACUUGAUUGAUUUCCAUGAUAUUGUCAUACCACCAUAUAUAAAUACAUACCUCAUUUGAGAUCGAGCUUUGUGGGAGUCUAAAAGAUAGUCAACAUCUACAUAUUCAAACAAUUAAGAUUCUGAUCCUUUGGAAUAACAUAGACUCAUGUUAUUUUAGUACAUGAUUGAUUUUAUUCUAAUGUCUUUGAGUUGGUGUAGAACUAUAUCUCACAAGUAAAUUAACAAGGAAUACAAUAUAUGGUCGUGUAUAAUUUACAAGAUUCAUCGGUGUACCAAUAAUACUGUAAUAUGGUACUUAUGGGCCAAGUAAUUAUUCAUUAUCUUCUUAAGGACAAAAAAUGUCAUUUUUCACUUUAAGUGAAGGAACUAUCAUCAGAGAAUUUAAUGGAUGUGAUUUAUCCAUAUAAAAACACUUCAAAACUUUCUUAAUGUAUGUUGAUUGAUGUAUUAAAACUCCAUCUGGAAAAUGCUUGAUUUGCAGGCUGAGACAAAAAAAAAAUUCUCAAAUUCCCGUUUCAAGUAAUUUAUUGUUCUUGUGAGCUCUUCAGGAGUUCCAACAAGAUUUAAGUCAUCAACAUACACUACAAUAAUUGCAAAUCUGGUUUCUAAUUUCUUAAUGAAAAUGCAUAGGCAUAUAGGAUUAUUCAUAUACUCUUCUUUUAGCAAGUAUUUGCUAAGGCGAUUGUACCACAUGCGUCUAGAUUGCUUUAAUUCAUACAAGAAUCAUUGUAACUUGAUUGAGUACAUGCUACGAGGCUUUUGUACAAUUUGCUUCAAGCAAUUUAAAUCCUUCAAGGAUUUUCAUGUAUAUAUCAUUAUCCAUGAAUCCGUAUAAAUAUGUGGUAAUAACAUCUAUGAGACGCAUAUCUAGUCCUUCUGGGACUGUCAAACUAAUUAAGAAACAAAAUGCGAUUUCGUCCAUGACGGGAAAAUAUGUUUCCUCAUAGUCAAUACCAGGUCUUUGCAAGAAACCUUGUGCUACUAAUCGCGUAUUAUAUCUUAUGAUCUCAUUAUUCUCAUUGCAUACCCAUUUAUACCCAACGGGCUUUACAUCUUCAGGUGUUUAGACUACAAGUGCAAAAAUUUCUCGUUUUAUUAAUGAGUUUAACUCCGCCUACAUAACUUCUUUCCAUUUUGGUCAAUCAUUUCUAUGUCGGCAUUCUUCCACAUUUCGUGGUUCAGGAUCUUCAUCAUUUCUUAUGAUACCGAAAGCCACUUGGAAUGCGAAAAUAUUGUUAAUAAUAAUAUUAUUUUAAUCCUAUUUUUCUGUCGUGUAUACAUAACUUACCGAGACCUCACAAUCUUUAGGUACCUAUGCCUUUUCUAGGGUUUCUUGGUCAACAUGUGCCUUUUCAAUGGCUUUUUGUUCAAUAUGUGCCUCUUUUAGGGCUAUAGAUUUAUCAAUUUUAAACCGAUCAGUCAUUUUGAUGGUCUUUUUUAGAGUGCCAAGUUUUUCUUGGGUUCUCCUCUUCCGGGGAGUUACUGUUGGAAAAAGGGGAUGAAUGAAAUUAAGUAAAUCCAUUGAAUUAAGUAAAUUCAUUCAAUUUUCCAGAAUUCUAAGAGUCUCAAGAAGCCAAAUUCAUUUUGGCUUUCUGAACCUGUCUGUGUUCUUCCCUCCUUGAAGUCUAUAAAUAGUGGUAGACUUUCUUUCAAAAAAGUACAGAAAAAUUUUGGAGUAUUGUCAGAGUGUUUAAGAGUUCCUUCCUUCUGUGUCCGUGAUAGAGUUGAACAAUUUCCAGUUCGCCGGAGUGGCUGCAGAGUGCUGUUGCUGCCAUUCGAAGAUCGUUUUAUCCUGGUAGACAGACGCCUUGCGAUUCUCAAAGCACCUGUGGAGAAGGCGAAUCUGUUUUAAGGAGAUUGUGUUUUCCACAAGACUCGGUCUAAUCUUCUUCCUUAAGUCUCUGUUUUUUUUUUUCCAGUUUUCUUUUAUUUUCUUAUGAACUAACCAGUGUGUGCAGUGUGGUUGUCUAACAGUUACAUCCUUUGAGCCAACAGGUCUACCACGCUUCAAGCGUAUCUUAGAUUAAUUUAUUAACUGUCCUACAAGGACAUCAAUCCAUGUUGGAGUAUUCUAGGUCAAUAAAAAUAAUUUUGUCACUUUCUUUGCAUCAAUGAAGGCAUUUGGUAAUUGAUUUGCAAGUUCUUGCAAAUAAAUAAUAUUUUAAACUUCCAAUUCACAUUAAUUGGUACGAGGAUCAAGAUAAGUCAAAGUCAAUGCAUUUCAAAAUGUCGUUCUUCUGGAACUGGCUCUUCUCUCCUUGGCAGUGAGAAAUUUGUCUCAUUAAAAUGAUAAUCCGCACAAUAUGUCAUUCUAUCUUUUAAGUGUAUAGGUAAACUAAUUACUAAAUAAAAACUUUUGGUUUUAUAAUGUACAUUCAUAUGACCUUUUACCCCAGUGGACCAAGUUGGUCUUACAAGAUUCUUCUAAAUCUUGCAUCGUAUAAAGUGUCAUUCACAUGGAAUCAAAUACUACUAGUGACAUUGUAUAAGCUCUUCUAGAGCAUUUAAUCAGGUUUCUAUCACCUGAUAUAGUAUUAACAUUAUCUAUCAUCAAUGUUGUGCAAUAAAAGAGACAAAAGUUUCAUCAAAGUAACAAGUCAUAAAACAUUGUCAUAAAGACUUCAUCUUUAUAGAGUUGAAAAAAUAUUAUCAUAGAAAAAGAGUUAAAAUCAAUGAAAAAAUAUUUGUUAUCAAUGAUAAAAUAUUUGUUGUCAAUGAUGACUUAAUAAGUCGUGUAAAAGCAAUGAAAGCAUAUAUAACACAAUAAAACAAAUAUGAAAAGAUAAUUUAAAGUUAUAUAUUUCUUAAAUAAUUUCACACAUUUGAUUUUGUAAGUGUGGAGCAAUUUAUACAUGAACUAACGAGAAAAUAUUUCAAUAAUCAAACUAAUUGUAGUGAUAGAUCAAUAAUUUUAUUCAAAAUAUUAUUAUGAUCUAAAUCAAUGUGCAAAAAUUAAUUCAUAAAUCAAAAUUUCAAGAGAACAAAUAAUGAUUUAAAGUAUCUUGUUGUCUCAAAACUUUAAUUGAAAUACUACAAAUCCAUUUGAACAUAUAUGUAAAGAUAUAACAUAAUAUAUUGAAAACAAUAGUUGAACCUAUUGUAAUUUCAAAAUUAUUUUUAGAUAAUGAAAUUAUUGCAUUAAUAAAAAUACCACAUGUGGCCACAUGCAAUAAUAUAUAUUAUUUUAUAUAACUCAAAAAAAUUUGAAUCAUAAAAACAUGUCUUAAAGAAAAUUGACAUGCAAAAUCAAUUUAUUAAUCAUAUGACCAAGUCAUAUAUUUCACUUGUAUCUAAAAAAUCUCAAUUUUCUAAAUCAAAAGAUUAUUGUGUAUUAAACAACUAGAAUAAAAAAAUAUUCCAAACGAUCACCUCUAAUACAAAAAUAUCAUACUUUCAUGCAAUUCAAAAUUCCACAUUUAUAUGUAAAAAAAAAAAUUCUACUAAUAAUAGUACAACAUAUAAUAAUACGAGUUCAUAAAAACUAUCAAAUACUUACCUAUUUGUAUGACUUGAUAUACAUAAUAUUAAUCUUUUGAUAAUAUGUAAAUAUUAUCUAUAUACUUAUUAUCAUAACUUCAAGUUAUAAUAUAUUUCAUUAUAACUUUUGGUUAUAUAAAUUUCAUAAAGUUGUACAAAAUUGUUAGUUAACAAUUUUAUUCUCUAUAGCUUCUAGCUAUAAGAAAGUACAUAUUAACAACUUUGGCAUAACAUUUCAUUAGCACAAAGAAUAUUAAUUUUCUUAUUUUCAUAAUUUCGGGUUAUGAAUAAUAAUAUUUAUAUAACUUCUGGUUAUAUAACAAAAUUAAAAAAAAAAUAUGUAUCUUCUAGGUACAUAGUUGUUUAUUGACAAUUUUGUUUUGUAUAACUUCUGGUUAUACAAGAGAAUUAGAAAUUGUAUGCAUAACUCCUAUUGUGAAAAAUAAGUGAGUACAAAAUAAAAAUUAAAAGUCAAUAUUUUUUCAUAACUUUGACUUAUGAUUAUUUUGUCAACACAAAAAAAUAUUCAAAUUUGUACAUAGCUUCAGGUUAUGAAUUAUUUAUGUAUAACUUCUAGUUGCACAAUAUAAUUAAAAAAAAUUAAAGAAAUUAAAAAUUAAUAUUUUUCAUAGUUUCAUAUCGUGAUUAUUUUGUCAGAAUAAGAAAAUAUUUAAAUUUGUAUAUAACUUCAAACUAUGAACUGUUUUUUAUAUAAAUUUGUGCACAGCUUUAAGCUAUGAACUAUUCAUUGAGUAGAUUUGUGCAUAACUUCAAGUUAUAAACUUUUAUUAAAUAAAUUUACACAUAGUUCAGACUAUGAACAUUUAUUUAUUUAUUUUAUACUUUCUAGCUAUAUAAUAUUGUUUGGUAUAACUUACGGUUAUACCGUAUAAUUAAAAAUAAAUAAUUAGGGAUCAUAUACAUAACUUCUUGUCAUAUAUUUGUAAUUUUGUAAUUUUUCUCAUUAACUUCUGGUUAUAGGAAUUGUACAUAUUUUUCAUAACUUCUAGUUAUGAAUUUACCAUAUAAUUUAUAAUUUAUCAGGUUAUAGGGACUGUACAUAUUUAUACAUUCAAAUAAGAUAAAUGAAAAUAGAGUGUCAAAUGGUAAUAAAGUAGAAAAUCAUGAUAUAAGUUUAUUACAUACCUUUUUGUAAGAAAGAAGAUAGAAAAGUUUUUAUAUUUCUUUAAAGAUAAGAACGUCUUUCUAUUUCUCUUAAUAAAGAAAAAUCUUUUUAUUUUUUUUGUAAAGACCAUUCAUUCUGAUAACGUGUUGUAAAACAAAGUGAAAGAAAGAAGAAGAAAGCAAGAAAGAGAAAAAAGAAUGCACGGGGAAACUCUAUAUAAUUUCAUUAGAGGUCCUACAAUUUCAUAAAGAGUUGCACAAGAUAUUUAUGGAUGAUCAUCCAUAAGUUACCAUAGUGAUACAAAAUUAAUGUUUUAUAACAUGUUCAUCAUUUUUCCAAACUCAUAUAUAAAUUAAGUUAAUUAAUUUAAAUACCAAAUUAUCCAUCAAAUCUACCAUUUUUAUCAUUAAAAGUAUAUGAUAAAAUUUAUAUUGUCACGAUGGUACAAAAUAAUAGAACUAGGAUUACUCUCUUACAUGAUCUAUUGUAUUUUUUUUAUAGAUAUAAAAUGGGUAUAAUAGUGAAACCCAUAUAUUAAUUAACUCAACUUUUUUUUAACUAAAAUUGAAUCGAUUAGAUUAAUAUAGUUUUUUCAAUUUUGAAAUAAUAAUUAAAAAAAAAAGAGGAAAAAAACGCGCGCACAUCACCCAAACCAUAUGCCACAUCAUGCGAUGACGUGGAGUAAAGGAGGCGUGUGGAGGGGCAUGCACGAGAACGCAGCCACCAUUUUCUAAAUUUGUAACGAACCAGCUCUAAAAUGCGAAAAUAACCGUUUGGAAGGCCAGAAACAACCGUCGGAGCAUCCCAAUUUCUCUUCAUUCUAUAAACCCUAAUAAUUGUCCAUCCAUUCCACGAAUUCUUCCCCCGCCAAACGACGCUGUUCCACCAUGAAAGGGCUUUUCAAGUCGAAGCCGCGCACGCCAGCCGAGCUCGUCCGCUACAUGCGUGAGCUUCUAAUCUUUAUUGAUCGCGGCGCCCAAACCCGGGAACAGAAGCGGGAAAAACAGCGGGAAGAAAAGGUUGAAUCUUGUGACGUUUUAUUCAAUUAUUUACAAAUUCUUCUUGAAGCCAGAUUGUUGGCAUUGGCCUAAAUUGUGUGGAAAAAAAUUCACUUUGUGCUUGUUUGUAUUGAAAAUUCUAGAUGAUAUAUUAUUUAAUUUAUUAAAUUCCAUCGGAAAACUGAAGCAUUUUGCUUUUUUUGUUUUGUUUGUUUAAUUUGAGGUUCCACGUUAAUUAGAGCAAUGUUGAAUCACACAAGUGUUUAAUGAAAUGCUGAGUUUUCAUAAAUUUAUAUUAGGUCUGCUCGCAGAAGCAAUUUGUGUAGCAAUUUUGUUGUUCACACAUGAAGUUUAGUCUUUUCUGGAAUGAUCUAAGGGGGGAAAUUUUCAGUGGAAACAAACAGUUGGGUGGCUGGCAGACUUUGGGCUAUUUUGUUAUAUAUUGGUUGAACAAAAUUGAGCAUGGGCAAUGUGGUAUUCUGAAACUGAUUGUCUUGUUCUUGAAAAAAAAAUGCAUUACUCUUCAAAAUUCUGAGCCUAGCCUUAUUGUAUCUAAAGUAACUAUGUUGCUAGGUUAGAGUUUGUGAAGUACUUUUAUUGCUUUAGAAACUUAAAAUGAGUAUAAUUUUUCCCAAAGAAGCAAAGUUUAUAGUGAGUCAUGCCUCCUCGUAGGUUCAUUAAAUUGCAGUCCCUCUUUCUACCUUUCUCUUGCCAAUGAUGUACACAAAUUCUUGUGUGCAUUCGUUUUUGUCUCAUUAAUAUGUCAAAUUGGUACGUGGUUGAUCUUCUUAUUUUCUUUUAUAAUAUGAUGGGUCGGCCUCAGUAUAUUGGUUAUGCCACACAUUUUGUCAUUAAAGAAAUUAUCUCUGUGCACCAUGUUUCUAAGGAUGAAAUGUUUAUGCUGGCUUCUUGUAGUUGGUUUUGCAUUUUUUGCUUUAACACUGCACAUUUUUAUUAUGUGUGACAUGAUUCAACUUAACUCUAAGUUUGUCACUGUGGACUGAAAUUUUAUGUCUCUUCCAUCAGAAAGUUCAGGAACUUAGUUGCAGAUUCAUGUUGUGAUUGGAAAUCCCCUAGUGCAAUAUACUGUUGAUAGUUGGGCUUUUAGCUUCUCAUCAAGUGCAUUUCUUCAUCAGUUUGCCCAAAUACAUACCAUUUUGUGUUGACAUCUUAACUUCUUUGCAGGUGUCUGAACUCAAUAAAUGCAUCCUGGAGAUAAGGACAAUUCUUUAUGGCAUUGAUGGAGCAGAGCCAGUUUUGGAAGCUUGUACACAAUUGACCCUGGAGUUCUUGAAAGAGGAUACAAUCCGCCUUCUGAUUGUUUGUCUUCCAAAACUGGACUUAGGGGUAAGAAUUAUCCUAUUAUUUGGUCAAGCUGCGAUUUAUUAAUAAAGAACACCAGGGUUAGGCACUAUCCUUAUUCUUUUUUCUUUUUUCUUUUUUAUAGUUUCUAUUUUCAACUCAUCUAUUCUAAAUUUUAGGACAAUUCCCUAAUAUUAUGUCAGUUUGUACACUUACCUUAAGGAUUGGGAAUUGAUUUAAGUGUGGAGGUUGAAAUGGUAUUCAUUAUUAUACCGUAUCUCAUUCUUUUGGUGUUUCAUGAAAAAAUGGGGUUCUUCCUUUUCAGGCACGUCAAAAUGCCACUCGUGUGAUUACAAAUUUGAGCAGGCAACGGGUUAAUUCACGGUUGAUUGCUGCUGAGUACUUGGAAAAUAACAUAGAUGUAAUAAAUAUACUGAUACCUGGGUAAGCUAUUUAUUUUGGGUAAUUAUUUUGCCAUAUAUUUGCUACAAUGCUCUCAAAGAAAAAUCCAUAACUCUUUGCUGUAUUUAUUUUUUUGGUCAGAAGUUAAAAGGUUUUACUUGGAGUUCAUUUUUUUCUUAAAUGUGUUUUCUGCCUUUUAUCAGUGAUGGAUGAAUAUCAUUCUAUUAAUCUUUCUAUUAGUAAUUCAUCUUUUAAGAUGGGUUAUAUUGGUGUUCAAUGAAUAAUAUGCUCUUUAUUUGGUUGGAUAUAAUGUUUCAAUGUCCAACUAAUAGGUGGUUUGUUUAGUUAUGAAGACAGUGAGAUUGCUUUAUCUUACGGUGCAAUUUUGAGGGAGUACAUACGUUAUCAGAGUGUUGCAAGGUAAGCAUAUUAAGAAGGUAAAAUUGAAUCUUGUAGAUGUCCUUUGAUAAGUAGCUACAGUUCAGAUUGUUUUCUGUCUCUCUUGAAUGAUGUUAUGAACCUUACAUUCAAUCUCAUAGUUCACCAAGCAGUUACUGCCUGUAUUUUUUAGUAGUCUUAUAUUUAUUCAUGCAUGUUUGUGACCUUUUCAUGAGUUAGUGAAAUGGAAAUCAGCACCUAGAGCAUAUAGGUACUAGUGAAGAAGUUCUUUCUUUUAAGCUGGCUCUGAAUUGUCUAUUCCACCUCUCUCUGUUGGUAAACUAUACUCAGUUACUAAUUAGUUCAAAUUGUGUCCACAUAUUUAAUUUCUGGAUCACUUGCAGGUAUGUGUUGGAAUCAGCACAGAUGAAGAAGUUUUUUGAUUAUGUACAAAACCCAACUUUUGAAAUUGCAUCAGAUGCCGCAGCAACUUUUAAGGUUAAGUUAGCCUGAGAGCAUUCUAUUUUCUUCUUUAAAUGCUUGGCAUAGCUUUUGUUUAGUGGUUUUUAGAAAGUCACUUCCUCCUUUUGGUGUCUGUUAAUUUUCAUUCAUUAUAUUUUACUUUUGUGCCUGAAAUUGUAAACCAACUGAACCCUGACACUGUCCCAAUUUCUGCAGGAGCUUUUGACCAGGCAUAAAUCUACUGUUGCUGAAUUUCUUUCCAAAAACUUUGACUGGGUGAGUAUCAUACUUUGAUUAUCUAAAUGGAAUAUCUAAAUGUUUUGCCUUUCUCUACAUUGGAAAGCAUCUGAUCUCACAUGGAACUUUGAUAAAUAGCUUGGUUCUUAUGUAUGGCUGCUUGUACCAACAGUAUGUGAGGCACUAUAUAACAGAUAGUUUUCUCUUUCGGCUAUGUUACCCUGGCACUUGCAUCUCCUGCAUAUUAUUAUUUGGAUUGAUCCGAUUUCAUAGAGGUUAAAUCUCCCAUUGUGAACUUCUUGUCAGGAAAUAAAUAUUCGCUGUUUAAACUACCAAAGAGCAUGAACUAAAAAAAAAGAAAAAACCUCAGAGGAUGGUUUCUUUGUUUGAGAAAGGUAAUGACAGCUCAUAACAUAAAGGGACUUGGGCAAAGUCUAUUAUCACAAUUGUAACAACUGUCACAGAGUCCAGUACUUUCUAUCUUUUGAAAUGCACUGUUAUUAGAAUGCAAUUUUUUGUACUUUAAAAAUAAUCUAGCAAAGGAAAUUUUUGUUUAAAAAUUACUUUCUUAUCUUUGGAAAGAAGCGCUUAAUAGGAAGUUACAAUUUAGUUAUAUCAGAGAAUAAGAUCCAUUUUCCUCAAAUUUGAAGAGCUGCAUUUACUUGCUCUUCUUUAUUGGCUGGUUUUUCUAUUUUAUGCUCAUGAUAAUAAUGGUUUCAUUGGGGCACUGAUGCCAUUUAUUGGAAUGUAUGCCUAUCAUGAAUAUAUGAAGAAUUGAUAAUUGAAAUCAUUGCAGGCCACAUUCUUCUUUGCCUGCAUAGUGAGACAACUUUAGAAUCGAGCUACUUUUUCUCUUCUUUUAUAUAUAUUACUUACAAUUAAUCAUUGUUGAAACUUCUCUAACUGUUUCCUGGUUCCAGUUUUUUCGAGAGUACAACUCACAGUUGCUGCAGUCUCCCAAUUAUAUUACCAGGCGACAUGCCGUCAAGGUAUAUAACUUCUUUACGUUCUAUAUGUAGGAACUAUUGGUCAGUGUUGUCAUUGCCAUGACAAUGUAUCCAAAUUUUUCUAUGUGAAUUCUCCACUUGCUUAGUAAGAGUGUGUUUGGCAUUGUUUCUAUUUGAAUUGCUUUCAGUGGAUGAGCUUUCUCUAGAAAAGUUUUUUAGAAGAAUCACCUUCCAAGUGCUUCUCAAGGAAGCACUACAAGUGAUUUUCCAACUUCCUGAAAGUGUUUUCUAAUUUUUCCAAACCUUAUUUUUCUUCAAAAGCAUUUUUUAUGCUAAAAGUGCUUUCUAAAAGCACUAUAAAACUGACUUUAAAUGUGUUUAGGGUAAUGGCAGAUUCAAAUGUUUUAUAAAAGAACUAAUGCACAAUUAUUUUCUGAUGGUUUAACAUGUUUCAGCUGUUGGGAGAUAUGUUACUAGAUCGUUCAAAUUCUGCUGUGAUGAUCCGCUAUGUGAGCUCACUGGAUAACAUGAGGAUCCUGAUGAAUCUUCUAAGAGUCUCUCUCUCUCUCUCUCUCUCUCCACACAUAUACUUGCAAUAUGACUGCAAAUAUUUCGCUAAAGUUUCCCUUUUUUCCUUCACUCUGUCUCUUUCUCCACACACUCUCCAUCUCUCUCCACACAUACACUUGCAAUACGACUAUAUAUUUCACUCAAGUUUCCUUCUUUCUCUUCCCUCUCUCCCUUUCUGCACACACACACACACAUCCUUUUAUAUUGAUUGCAUAGAUUCCACUCAAAUUCCCUUCUUCUGAACACUUUUUUCAGGAGUCAAACAAGGCAAUCCAGUUGGAAUCAUUUCAUGUGUUCAAGGUGUCAUAUGAAAUUUGACUCAGUUUUAGAGUGCCUUUUUUUAUUUUAAUCACAUUCUAAAGUUUCCUUCUCUCAUUUUUAUUACUGAUAGCUAUUUGUUGCAAAUCAAAAUAAGCCUCCUGAAAUCGUCAGCAUACUUGUCACAAAUAGAAGCAAACUCCUACGAUUCUUUGGCGACUUCAACAUUGAUAAAGGUAGAAAACAUUUUCUUAUUCAAAACCCAUAAUGCUCAUUAUUUUAUUCUCUGUACGGCAGUACAAAUUGAAUUCUUCUCCUCUGCAGAGGAUGACCAAUUUGAAGCAGACAAAGCUCAAGUCAUCAGAGAGAUCACUAAUCUGAAUCCACGGGCUGAUGAUGGUGUGCAGUAGACAAAAGCAGAUCGUGUCUCUCUAUUUAGUCAUUGUACAUCCAGAGAAUGCAACUGGAUACUCGCUCUUUAUAUCUAGUUUAUUUUCUUUGAAAGCGUAAAAUGAUAGACUGAUCCCACUGUAAAUUGAAAAGAAAUUGUUUUACAUUAUCUUGUUUACCUUAAUCAAACCAUGAAACCUGUGUCUUAAUGUUUCUAAUUGCUUCACUACAUCACCUUAUCCCUUCUUUAACAACGAGAAUCCUGCAGAUGGAUGCUUCAAGUGCUGCAUCCGGCUGCUGCUAACUCUGUGCUGAGAUUAAGUUGGCUUUUUGGGCUCUAUAACAUACAAAGCUCCCAAUGUUUUGAAUCCUGAUCCUUAUUCAAUACUGAAUGUGGCUCAAUAAAAUUUGAUUAUGAAACUGAUUAAGUUUCAUGAUUUGAUUUGUGAUAUUUGAUUCCAUUUUGGAUUUAGGUAGCAUUUCUGGUGUUUAAACAUAGUAGUAUGAAUCACAUUUUCUGCAGUGCAGGUUCAAAACUGCACGAAACACUCGAGGAUUCCCCCAGGUUGUGAAAAAAUUUCAGUGGAUUCAUGUCAAGACAAGGGUAACGGGUAGAAUUUCUAUAUUUCUCCAUUCUUCUGCAUUAAUGAUUUGAGUUUUCAGCUUGGGAAUCCAAUUCAUUUGCUCUGUCACUCUUUUUUGCCUGAGAUUGUGCUCAUAGUAAAUGAUCUUUUUCUUCUGGGAAAUUAUCACAGGAGACAAGUUCGCACAAAACUUCCGUAAUCCAAUGAAUUGAAAGACCAAAAAACUGGAAAAAAAAAAAAAGAACAUGGAGUGUAUUUAUAUAUACGAGAAAAAUUACACUAUAUCCAUGUCUAAACAGCACACUGAAACACAGAGCAAAACCUACUGGAAUAAAGAAUAGCCUAACACAACAAAGUGAUGAGCUCCCUCGACAUAAGGGGCUACCAAUCAAGAAACCCAGUCCCUCACCCAUGUGAAAAACGCAGCCUGAUACAUUCUAAUCUAUCUUCUACACCACUGUCCUGGCACCAUGUCCAUUAACCCCAUUCACUCCAUUGCCAUUUUGUGGAUACUUCUCGGAGCUCUCCCUUUUCCUCUUGAUGACUAUGUACCAUGUAGCAGCUUCCAGCAUAAUUGCAAAGAAUCCCAAGAAUAUGAGAAUGCCGAUGUAUGCUCUCUUCCAUUUCUCCUCAGGAUCCAAGAUGUCAAAGCCCUCAAAGAUGUUGAAGAUGCUCAGGAUAAUGAUGCAAUAUCCGAUGGCAUGGUGGUAGAUGUUCCAGUAGAGUCUGUACUUGUGAUCCUUGUUUGGCCUCAGGAGCAGAGCAAAUAACUGUAUGUGAAACACAAGUUCAUUUAGAAGGCUGCAUACAAGACAAGUACAGAGAAUGUGCUAAAACCCGAAGAAUUCACCAUAUUGAUUCGGUACCUGAAGGGUUCCAAGGCAGAAAAGGGUGAUGCCAACGUUCCUAUGGGUGUCAUACUGAACAGUAGAAGAAUCACUGCCAAGUUUUAUACCGGUUGCCCAUCCAGCCACACCAACUAUGUAUCCUGAGGACUGGCAAGCAACAUGUAGGUAGAACCAUGCCGGGUCUGCAGCCUGGAAAACCUUCAUGUAUCUUGCAAUCAUGGCACCCAGAGGCAUCAAGGUGCCCCAACUGACAACGUUCAACACACCAUGAAUCUGAAAGAUUAACCCCAUCACAGUUAAAAUCAAAUCCCAUAGAUAUGAAGAUCAAAUAUUGAUAAUGGAAAUGGUUAUUAGGUUUCUGUUUUUUCCUUCAAUCACCUAAGGUUAACUCAGAAAAAAGAUUGAAUCACUUACAUUUCUCCUCCUCACUCUUGAAGAUGUGGCUGACCCUCCUGUGCUAGUUUGUCCUGAAAGAAGAUCCAAAGUGCCCAUAGACUGAACAUGUUCGCCAGUGGUGGAAUGUGUACCAGGAGUGCCUCCACUCAAAGGACCUUCUUGCCAGACCUGGUUCACGGUUGUAAGGCUGGAGGAGAGCUCCAAAGUGGCAUAUAUGAUCAUCUCACCGUUGCUGUUCUCUGCUUCGAUCUUUGGUACUGAAAAGCUCAAAGAACCAGGCGCCAACGUAGUGCUAUAACUAGACACCGGAGAGGUGUAUGCAUAGGGGGCACUGGAGUUCACAUAUGCCACAAGAGACUGUGCCCCCACCAUACCUGUACUAUUCAGGUUGAUGGCCCAAGCAAUCCAAUUUGUCGACGAAAAGUCAGGCUGCCUGUAUGCAAUUUCCAAAGUUCCAUUUGUGUGGCGAGUCCAGUGGAUGAAAGAACCCAAUUCGGAGAGGUCAGUGCAAGAGGUAUAGAGGUUAUUGUUGGAGAAGGUGUAGCUCCCACAUGUCUGAGCAGAAGAUGAUACCAACAUAGAAACCAAAGCACAUGAAACCAACAAAAUUCUCAAAGACCCAUCCAUGGUGGCUGAAUUCAAGGAUACCCAGAGGCCAAAACCUCAACAAAAACAACCUUUCAGAAUCUGGGUGUUCUCAGAUGGCACUGAAACAGGUCCCUGAGGUGUUUUCUCAAUUUGGGUACUUGAAGAACAAGCUCAAUGUGAUGAAUGAAGAAGAGGGGUUCCCUCAAAGAAUAUAUAUAUAGAAGGAUUGUUGGAGAAGAGUUGGGGUGGUUGACUGGUUCUCUCCAUUGAAUGCUGUGUCUAUAUAUUGACACGGCCUCCGUAAGGGAGAGAGGGCAGUAAUGGAAGCAGGCGAGAAGGUGUAGGCACCUGUGAAAUUUCAAAGUUUGAAACUCUGUAGUAUGCGGUGGGGCCACGCACCUUCAACUACUCCUCGUGUUCACAUCUACUUUGUCCAACUUUCCUAAAACUAGUUCAUAUUCUGACUUUUUUCUCAUGUUUCCGCCACCAAAUCUAUUGAAAAAUGACACGAGAAAAAUGGAGAUGCUCAUUCCAC
rnacentral:lncRNA from 1 species